GUAUGAUGCAAAAAUUCUAGUUAUUAAUUUUAAUACCCAUAACUAGUUUGAGGAGUUGGGUUAAGUCACAGUAUACAGCUAUAGGUAGAUGUGUGCUCCAUAUCCCGUCUCCCUCUCUCAGCUGGUCCAGAGACUGACAGUGAGACAGUCGGCUGAGAUGAGAUUGUGAGAGCGAGCUGUGCGGGGAAUUGAGUCGCAUUGAUCUGCCCUCUCUUCUCUGUCCCUGAGCCCAUAAAAACCAUUAACCUUUCUGCCACAGACAAGCUCCAGCUACAGCCCAGUAUCUAACGGAGGUUAAUUAAAACUAAACGCAGGGAACGGGGUGUGGAGAGGUGACCGAUCUCAGGGGAGAGUCACCCAGACUUCUAAAUGAGCUCGCAGCAGACUGCAGUGCUCCUGAGACACGCUUACAUACACAAUGGCAUCAUUGUCCCCCUGUUAUGGGACAUGAUCUCUAAUAUUCCUCGGGGUCUUUUUUUAAAGAUUAAUAUAGACCACGGUUGUUGCCUCAUAAUUUAUGACCCCUUAUCUCGCUGAAGGACUUGUUAUUGAGUUAUUAAUAGUAUUGUGUGGUGCAGAUUCAGGCCUGUUUCUCUGCGUUUGUUAUUUCUGUAUUGAGACUCCAACUGUAAUAAAGCACAUUGUGUUGCUCCUUAUAAAGGAUCAUUUUCUUUGCUUUUCAUUUUAAACAGUGAAAUGCAUUUACAAUUUAAUAUUUCUGUCGAAUCAAACCCACCAAUUACUGUUGAAGAGCGAAGUUUUGAGAUAUGUUGGGGAAUCGGGCUAAUACACUUCCAUUCAGUAAAUGAUUGGAGUACGGUGGUAAUUCAGUUUAGGAAGCACAUUUAUGAAUCCUGUCAACAAUAGAAAAGCUUAAAAUGAAGAAAAUUCAAUCUGCGGCGCCCAAUUCAUUCCGUGCAUGACUCAAAUAUCUUAUUAUUAUACAUUUUUAAUGAUUUUCUUAUUGAUGGCUGUUGUUAUGCCUCAAAUAAUGACAUUUUAAAUGCUAGACUUUAAUAUUAGGGUUUGUAGGAAUGUAGCUGUGAAUGUGAUUACUGUAACACGCUGUAAUGAUGUACAAUAUGAGUUUCUCUCUGUUUUGUGCUGGAUAAACAGAUAAUGCUGCCACGUGGCUGUGGAAAAGACACACUUCAAGUUUAUUGCUCUCUAUUGAACAUCUUAUUGCUUUUCUCCCUUUAGAGUUUCUGUCUCAGGUGCGUGUGUGUGUGUUCUUGUGUGUGUUAGUGUGUUUGUUCGUGUGUGUGUGUGUGUGUGUGUGUGUGUGUGUGUGUUCUUCAGUCCAGAUCAGAUCUGUAAUUAAAACUAUGAUGCUGACUCAGACAGUGCUCAGAAAAGGAGCAGCAAAUGAGCCGGAGUGAAGACGAGGAUUUAAGAUAUACAAGGCAAUGAUUCUGUGUCCCGAUAGAGAAGAUAUAAAGAGCAGAGAGAGGAUGAACAGAGGACAAAAAAAGAAAAGAUGACAUAAUGAAACCUCAAACCCUGGAGCGUGCUGUGACUAAAGUACAACAACCAAGCUAUUUUCACAUGGUGGGCGAAAAAACAGGUGCAAAAAAUCCGUAAAGCUUUAAGGUGAGCUUUUUUGACCUGGCAGGUAAACAGCUAGUGUGUUUUGUUAAGUAUCAGCUGUUCUUUGAUUGUAAAUAGUAAUUCUGGCUGGAGUUCACCCGUUCCUGCGUUUUCCACUCACGGAUAGCUCAGCCUUGGGUUGAAAGCCUUGUUUUCUGACAUAUUUACUGUAGAGAUUUAAAUCCUCCUUAAGCACUGUCAUCCACUACUAUUUAUCUUUCUCUCCGCCAAAAACAAAUCCGGAAUGCUUAAAAGGAUGACGUGAACGUACCAAAGCACACAUGCUUCAAAAUGUGAAGCAGUAAAUAUCAGUGGUAAGUUAGCAGCUCCCGUCAGCACGAUGAUCGGGGUGAAUUUGUGUCUCUUUCCAUUACCUGAACGCAGGCCAUAUAGAGCUGAAGGCUAAUUGUGUGUGUGCACAAUGACCCCGGGCCCCUGGGAUACGCAUUCAGACAGGCCUACUGCUUGUGAAUGGCUUUGAGUGUGAGCCUAUUUCUGAUAUUUAUGGGCAACCGGGGCAUUGUAAGUUAUGGUAGGACCGAGGGCCCUGCACUCGACCAUUUCUUUCGAUGGCUUUCACCGGCAUUUUUUCCGAUCUCCUCCUACAUUUUGGUUUGUUUGUCUUUUUGGGGAUUUUUAUUGUUGGAAAAAUAUGGGGAGGAAAAAAUGAAAUAUUUUUUAUUGUCACGUGGUCGUUGGCUAGCUGUAUUUGUUUAGUAAGUGUUUUGAGUAAAAAUAGCCCUAAACUAACUCUGACAUCAAGUCAUCUGAAAUGAUUUAUGUUUAUUGUACUGUACUGUAAUAAUGCCAAUAAUAUAGCUGUCUUCAUGAUAAUGAUUAAACCCAAUAUGUUCUGAACAUAUGGAUAGAUAGAUGGAUAGAUAGAUAUGUAAUGUACACCUUUCACAUUGUACUCUGUCUUUAGUCUGUUUCGUUUCCAGUAUUCAAUGAGAAAUGUUUCACAAGGGACGAGCUCUUUUUCCUCUAUAAGAUGACUUACUUCCAGGGAGUAAAUAGUUUCUGUUUCAAACUAAGUCCAAAACCAGAGGAGUAAUGAAGGUUUAGUCGGGUCUGUUUCUUUGGGAUGUUUUGAAAAAUUAUCUUUUUGUACUCUCUGACAGAGCAGUUUAUCUGCCAUUUCCAAUUGGGCUGUAUUUAUGGGAUCCAUCUGGGAUGUACGCAGCCCCAGUCUCCCCAAUCCCCUACAUGUAAUCAGGUCUGGACUGGUUUUGCACUGUGUUUGUAUUUGUACCGUUUCAUUAUUUUGAUGAUUAACCCUCAUGUUGUGUUUGGGUCUGAGAGAUACAGUGACCAA